ncrna:Drosophila mojavensis microRNA dmo-mir-274 precursor
UUUCGGUUUGUGACCGACACUAACGGGUAGUUGAGGCAUCUCGUAUUCGCUGUUUUAUACUCGUUUUUGCGAUCACAAAUUCUGAAA